UAGAACCCAUCAUAGACCUCACGCCCAAAGAGGAAGGACUCUUCCUCUGUUUCUCAUGUACAAAAGCCUGUCCCCUCUCUGUUUCAUGCCCCCUCUCUCUUAGAAGAAUUUUUUCACAGUAAAAACCAACUUCUAUGCCGCACAAAAAUGAGAGGAAUUUAAAGUGGGCGUGGAGAAGAGAUUGGAUAAGGAUAAGUGGUUCAAAUUAGUUCAAAUUCAAAUCAUUUUGAAUUUAAUUCAAAACCACUUCAUUCUUAUCCAAGUGGGGCAUCAAA
rnacentral:lncRNA from 1 species